AAUAAAUAAUCUGUUAGUCACAUGCAUGUUAUGAUAGUUAUUAAAGGCAUAAACAAAUCAGCUUUUGUUAGUAUUUGUAAAAACUCAUGGCUAAACAGACUUUGUUAAUCGACCACUCAAUAUAUACAUUAUGACUCACCAAGCUUGCUAAUCCCCCUUGUAUAUAUAGUAUCUUUAAUAAUACAUUAUUGGUUAAUUGUAAUUGAUUAAAAAUUCAGGGCCGACCGUGCAAUCUGUGCACUUGGUGUUGAGGGGGCCGCACAUCGAAAGGCCACACAGCCUGUUGUCAAAAUAAAUUAUCCGGUCCACAGUUCGUGUAUUUAUCUAAUGAUUCAGAUUCAUCUAUAUGCUUAAAAUCGGACUAUUUCUGAGACCUCAAAGGAACACUCAUUGGCCACUAUUGUAUAGGUCCCCUCAAAAAUAUUUCGCUCAAAGCCCCAAUAUUCAUCAAGCCGGCACUACCUGAAAUAUAUUAUUUCCUACCUACUGGUUCUUAAAUAGCCUAACUGAUGGCAUCAAUUUAUUCUAGUUCAGCUCUCAAGUGAACUUUUUUUUAAAUUAUAAAAAGCACAUACCUACUUAUUUGAUACCUGUCACUCGAUCGGGCUAUUAAAAUCAGAAACAUCCCUAACUUGUUAUGUAAAACCACCUUGGGGUAGGCUCGGGGUUAAAACAAAAUGAUUAAAAGCACAUAUACACCCGGCAAGGAUUACCAUGAAUUGUCUUUACUCAUUAUGCCACGAUAUUUCAAUACUUCAAAACGAAGUCCUGACGACAAAUUCUGAUGGCACUUUAUUAUUUUUUUUAUCAUAAAAUACUUAGGAGUUAGGAAUAGAUAAAAAAAAUUUUAAAUCGCAUAGAAAUUAAGCUAAAAGGUCUUUUAAUUUAUUUGAGCUUGUCAUAUUUUUUUAAGAAUUUAGUAAGGACUGGCCAAUUUCGAAUCAGCCCGGACUUGCGGUCCGAGUGUCUCUCUCUGUCUUCGAGUUUGCGUCUAACCAGUAGGUACCUUCUCAACCUCAGUGACACAACUUAAGUUCAAAUCUUGGGGGGGGUUAAGCACUCCCUGGUACCCCCACCCCUCCCCCUAUAGUUAUGUCACUGCUUAACCUUACCUAUUGUUAACGCAUUAAAAGUAUAAUAACUAAAUCAAAGUAGGUAGUACCAGUGGCGUGUAACAUAGGGUCCAAGUAUUGCUAAGGCAACACCUUAAAUAUGGGUGAGUGUGUAUUGAUAAAAGAAAAAUAGGGCAUUUUAUAGGUCGGUAUAACAGUAUAAUGAGGGGUAGGUCACCAACAAUUAUUAGAGCAACACCUAUUUUUUUUAUGAUACACGCCACUGGGUAGUACCUACAACUAUCAGUGUUAUCUUGUUAUUGGUUAAACAUCUUGUUUACAACACGGUCACCUGUUUCCUCUUAACAAUACCACACAGCAUUGUGUCACACCUAUUCUGCAAUGACCUGUAUUGUGUAUCAACCAACCUGCCCUCUUCUACUAUAAAUUAUUAAUCGGAUACCUAAUAAAUUGUUUCGAAAACUCAAGGCAUCUAAAUGGAAACUUGUACGAGAUUCUCGUAUAGGUAACGAUAAGUUUCUAACCUAUUAAACUUUGUUGGUACUUACCUGGCCACUUACUAAUUUCUAAUGUAAAUGUUUAAGAUGGAUACUCCUAUACUAGCUGUAUAUAACCCAACUUUUCCCAGGAAAAUACGUUUUUAUAGUAUACCUACCUAUUAGGUCGGAUAUUAUAGCUAUUUGGUUAUAUUUUCGAACGUGGUACAAACCGUACUCCGUAAACUUGCCUGAUAUCUCUAAGAACAAUCUUUGAAAUUUUCGUCAAAAUCGGUCGAGUGCUUCAUGUCGACUUAUAUAGGUACUCAAGACUAAGCAACAAACAUAAUAUAGAAGAAGAAUUUUAUAAAUACCUAAUUCCUAUAUUUGUUUUAAGGUUUAAUACGAUAAAUAUAAGUAUAAUAGGUACCUACCUAUGUGAGGUACCUAUUGACGUAACGUUACCCACUUUUGUUUUCUAUUAGGUACCACAGGUAUGCAUUACAAGAAAAUUAAUUUAGUGGGUAUUUUUUUUAUUUUUUAACGAGGAGUAACGACCUGACUUUCGGUCACCUUUUAAAAACAAUAAAUAAACUUUCAACUACAACCUAUAUAAGUGCACCUCGUACUCAACUCUUUGACUAUGGUAGGUUAUGACUGCGUAUACAAAUACUGAAACACCCAUUGAAAUGAUAUAUAUAGUCAAGUGCCAAUAUAGAGUUCAAAAUUAACCCAUCAGUCAACUCAAAUUCUUGUGGUGAGAUGUAGGUAGGUGUGUCUACAUUUACGACACACGAUCUAGGUUUUCUUAUCGAACAGCGGUCUGCGCCAUAAAUUAUUCCUUUAUAACCGUGGGUACAGACACACUGCAAUUUUGAAUUUCUGAUGCAGAUUUGUGUAUGUAAUGUUUUGCGGUUCGUCUUAGGAAUUUUUGCAAAGUGUGAAACUCAGGUAGGUAUGACGACGAUAGUCACAAUUUAGAAUUUAGAUUAAAUCGUAGGUAGGCGCCACAGAAUAAAAUAUUUCAUUCACGUGUCCGUAUGCCCGAAUAGUGUAUAUUAUAUAUAUAGUCAUAUAAGACGCAGUGACUGAUUAGUGGACAUCUGAAGCAAGAGAGACAUAACACAAACGAUUUCGACUUGGGCGAUAUUUAGGUAAUGUUUUUGCAAAUUGUGAAUACAGCAUAUAUAUCUACUAGCGCAUCGCCCAAGCCACAACUGUAGAAAAUAAAGUAGCUUGGAAGGUAAAUAAAUAGGUACAAUGUAAAGUAUAACUUACAAUAUAAGUACUACACUUAAUGUAAUUUAAUUUAAACGGGCAGUUAUGUUGUAGAAUGUAGAUGAAUAGACAUAUGCCUAAUAGGCAUAUAGUUUCUUAUGUUAAAAGAUAUCAACGCGGCAUCUUAGAUAUAGACUACUUAAGCCCCAGCGAACACUUACAAAUUGACCUAAUGCGUGAAUACCAAAGCAUAACGUCAGUUCUCAUAAUGUAUCCAUAUAUAGGUAGGUACUUACCACAAAACAGUAUUCUACUUAUAUGGGCACGAUUGGUGUCUAUAUUAUAAUAUAGGUACCUACCUACCUAUUAUACAUAAUUAAACUGUCAUUGCCUAUCGAUAUAGACGGACCUAAGUAUGGCAACUGUUGAGCUAUAUUAAAAUGUUAAGUAAUUCACUUUCACGGCUGAUAUAGGUAAUAAUAUGUGCACCGUGCAGGUAUCGGGUCAUAUCCGUACAUGGACAUGGCGAAAUCAACUUUUGUCUGCAGUUUAUGUAAGGAAUCAAAAAUAAAAUUUGGUUACAUAUUAGGAGAAAAAAAAUUAAUGCCAAUCAAAAAAAAACCUAGGUCUCUAUUAUGAUAUCGUUCGAUCGUUUCAGAUGAUGAUAAUUUGAAUUGUUGAUACGUUUUCAGAAAAUAUAUUAUUAUAUAACCCAGGCAUGCCUCUUGCCUCUAUAAUAUAGGCAGAUAAAAAAAAUAUAGGUAAUACAAAACAAUACACAUAGAUACUGCAGGAGACAAUAUUUAGGUAUGUAGUGAAGGAUCUGUAGAUUGCAAUAUUGACUAUAAGUCCCUAUAUGACGACAAAUCCAUUCAAAAUAAGUUCAGUCAUACUUUAAGUAGUACUUACACGCUACAGUGCCGUGCCAAUUUUCAUUGGUGCCCCUAUUAAACAUACAUAAUAUUUAAACAUUUGCAACCCUUUAAAAUUACAACUUCUGCUCCCCAAAAGGGCACUUGUCCCAUCUACCCCACUUUGGAACGGUACCUAAGCUUGAUAUUAUGAUAGUAUCAGUAUAGGCAUAGGGGUUUCCAGGUGGGCCAUGGCCCACCCUAUGACUAUUACCGAAUACUUGUUACAGAUUGUGACUUACAUUAUAGUUACAUCAUAUACAUAGUAGUAUCGUCUUCUUCUGCAUUUCUGUGAUAUAAUAAUUGUGAUGUUUGCUAUUUUUAUACCACGAAACCAAUUAAUAAUAACUACCUAAUAAUUAUCUAGAAAAAUGAAAUUCUUAAAUUGGGUAUUGAUGGGGGAUUAUAUAAUCUGUACCUAACGGAGGAGCAGUCUAUCUAUUAUAUAUAGCUUAUUUUGCGAUGUCCCCCCUCCCUAUUUUUUAUCACUUAAUCUUUAAUCCCAUUAUAGCUUGAAUAAGAAAUAACAUGUUUUUGUUAUCAAUCGCAUCAAUGAAUAUAUUUAUACCUUAUAAGUAGUGACUAGUGGGUGAUGACCGAUGAGUAAAUGAAAGUAAUUUUUUAUCACCUAAAUUCAUUUUUUUCGAGUUUCAUUGGCUUGACCCACUCUGCCACAACCAGUUGCGCACGCCUGCACGAGUAUUUGAUGUAUAUAAUAUCUUUACAUGGUCCAAAUCGGAAGGUACCUAUUAUAUUACCUCCAUAUUAUUGUAUCGACAUUAAUCAUAGCCCGUAGGUAAUGCUUAUAGAAGAAUCCCAUAAAAUCAUCACAUUCAUAAUAUAUGAAUGUGACCAUGAGUAAUUAUAAAUAAUAAUUUUAAAUCCUUAUUGUAUUAAAAAUAGCCAUAUUGAGUAAAUGGACAAGUAUAUAAAUCGAUAUUCGAAAUGAACAUUUCUGACUCCUGCAGAGUUAUCCACCUAUUUAUGAUAUUUUACAGCCAGAGUUUUCCUUUUUGUGAUGAAAAUUUCGUUUCUUAGUUAUGAUUGUAAGCUUUUCGCUUCUUUCCCGAGCUAAUCAUUUUUUCCUAUGUCUUACAUUUUUAAGAUGGAGAUCACACAUGCGGAUGAUAUAGAGUCCUCUUAAUAAAAUGUAAUGACUAAGAAAAGAAUAUUUUAAAUUAUAAUUGAUUAUCAUUCAUCAAUAACUGGUAAGAAACGUUUUCGGAAAAUAUUUUAUUAUUGUUACAGGUGGGUAUAUUAUUAUUGUUUUUGCUCAUAGCUUAUAUGUACUGAAUUCAUAUUUUAUAAAUGGGCGAGUUGACCCGGAAUUAAAAUUAUUAUAAAGCACCGUCGAUGAUACACUAUGCAGCCAUCUUCUUAGUUAUUACCGCUUAACAUACCUAUACCUAUUUCCUGUAAUUUUUGUUUUCUCGUAGUGUAUAGCUUAUUACAAGAGUACCUACGACGACCACGCACACCCGAUUUCGUGCUCGGAAGUUAUUAAAGUUUUUUUUUCUAUUAAGGUCGACUUUUAUAUAGCGCUCGUGUAGUAGGUGUAUCGAUUAUAUAUAUUAUAAUAUGCAUAGUCUUGAUGUCUACUGAUGUCCGUGCAUAUUUGAGGUAAAACUCCAAUUUUUUUUUUUAUACCUAUAACCUAAUAGCAAACAAUUUUCUCGGACAAAAAAUAUAAUGGAGUACGCGUGCAGGCCCUCGUCGAUGUAGGUACAAGUAGGUACUUAUAUCUGCGUUGACUGUAAUAUAAUAGGAGGUACCUACGUGUUUUUGUACCGAAAUCCUAGUCCAUGACAAAAUUUAAGAGGCACAAGUAUUAUUUUCCCUCCGACUAAGCAUCGUCAACUAAUUUACUAUUGUAACUUUACCAAAAAAACAAAACUACAGUUCCCUACAUAUACUCAAUAAUAUAUUAGGUAAAUAGCAGCACCUGCUGUUGUGCAGGGUAGUUGUCUCCAUAGCAGAGAUUUCAACCAACGUGUCAUGAUAUUACCUAUAUUGCUAUAGUGAUUGUUUUCAGUUUUUCCACCGUAUACAAUCUCAUUAAUUGUAACGUUCAAAUUUAUACCAUAUCGUGCCGGGAUAGACAUCGACGAGCAUCAAAAAUAUCUGUUUUCCACUCAGUCACACCACCACCGCCUCGAGUGUCGAGGCAUAUCGAUGAAAAUCGAGAUUAAGAAAACUUUAGUCUAUUGACUAUUCAACCCUACUCGCCAAUCGCAGUUCACAUUUUUUGAAAACAACAUAAGAAUGUGAACCAAACGAUUACACGCCUGCAAUCCCGUUUCUCAACGAGUCGUUUUCACCAAUAAUAAUAAUAAUAAUAAUAACUAUGAUACUGUUGACGACGUCGACGAGGAUCGUGUGUGGCCGUAGUGGUGAACAUCAUCAUAAAAAUAAUGGCCCAGGUACACUAUAGGUAAAUUGUAGGUAUUUAAAGGAAAGGAUUGCGAGGAUGAGGACAGGCAGAAGAUACAAGGCAUGCACGAUGGCGGUGAUAUGCGUAUACAAAAUCAAACGCAAAACAAUAAUAAUAAGUGUGCAGUGAAGUAAAAUUUAAAUCAAAAACGCAUUCAACUGUGUGUAGGUACGGGUGUCUGUAUAAUUAUUAUGUAUAUCAUAUUAUAAUAUAUAAUCUCUCGGGGUUCGGAACAAGUAAACCCGUCAUCAGUUGCUCGCGGUAACAAACAGUAUUAGCAUUAAUUAACAUUUAUAAUAUUUACAUGGACAAAAAAAAUAAAAACUGGAUGCAAUUCUCUGAUACCUAUAAAAAAAAGUCAUUAAUAAUUCGAUAAAAAUGGGCUGAAUACAAAUCAACAUGCUGAUGAUAAAAUAUUGCAAAACACAACAAAUAAUAAAUAUAAUUUAAGUCAUCGAUAUCGUAUCAAUAUCAUGGCCACCGUUAUACUGAACGCGUUAGUCAACAAGUUCAGAGAACGUUUGGUCAAGAUCGUCACAAAUGUAUUUG